UGCUAAUACCCCAUAUGCUUUUGAGUGAAAUGGAUUUUAUCCGCCUAGAGAGAAGCUCGCGGCUGAUUAGCUUGUUGGUAAGGUAAGAGCUUACCAAGGCGACGAUCAGUAUCUGGUUUGAGAGGACGAUCAGACACACUGGAACUGAGACACGGUCCAGACUCCUACGGGAGGCAGCAGUGGGGAAUUUUCCGCAAUGGGCGAAAGCCUGACGGAGCAAUACCGCGUGAGGGAAGAAUGCCUAUGGGUUGUAAACCUCUUUUUUCAGGGAGGAAUAAAAUGACGUGUACCUGAAGAAUAAGCAUCGGCUAACUCCGUGCCAGCAGCCGCGGUAAGACGGAGGAUGCAAGUGUUAUCCGGAAUCACUGGGCGUAAAGCGUCUGUAGGUGGUUUAAUAAGUCAACUGUUAAAUCUUGAUGGCUCAACUUCAAAAUCGCAGUCGAAACUAUUAGACUAGAGUAUAGUAGAGGUAAAGGGAAUUUCCAGUGGAGCGGUGAAAUGCGUAGAUAUUGGAAAGAACACCGAUGGCGAAAGCACUUUACUGGGCUAUUACUAACACUCAGAGACGAAAGCUAGGGUAGCAAAUGGGAUUAGAUACCCCAGUAGUC
rnacentral:rRNA from 1 species